rnacentral:SRP_RNA from 1 species
CUGGCGGUUGAUCGACAGGUCCAUCGCGAGCGCGAGCAGGGCCAGUGCGGCGAGAUAGCCCAGCACAUGCAGGCGCUGCUGCGUCAUCGC